rnacentral:misc_RNA from 1 species
AAAUGCCCUUUAUGCCGGCAGGUUAGCUGACAUUUCAUUUGUAAUUUUCUCCUAAAAUAAGCUAUGAAGUAUUAAAUAGCUGGCAAGCAUGUUGGCACUCUAGUGUUUUGAGGUUACAAGAAAAUUGAUAUUGAUACUAGAAGACAAGGUCUGGAUUCUGGACCUGAUUUAAGUCCUAGCAUUUCUUCAAUCCAACCCCCUAUUUCUUAUCUGAUACAUAGGAAUCCCCUGAAAUUUGAACUGUUUAUUCUCAACCUGGUGUCUUUUACUGGAGUUAAUAGUAUCGAUUGAAAUCCAGAUCACAUGGAAUCAUAUUGGAUUCCCCGUGAAUUAGUUUUAAGUAUUUAUCUACCACCCUGCGUCUUUAAAUGGAGCUUUAGAAAACCAUUCUUCACUUGUAAUAAUUCAUUCCCCUUUUGAUCACAGGCUGGAGUUUAUGAAGGUG